rnacentral:misc_RNA from 1 species
GAUGAAGAACGUAGUGAAAUGCGAUACGUAAUGUGAAUUGCAGAAUUCAGUGAAUCAUCGAGUCUUUGAACGCACAUUGCGCCCCCUGGUAUUCCGGGGGGCAUGCCUGUCCGAGCGUCAUUGCUGCCCUCAAGCACGGCUUGUGUGUUGGGCCUCCGUCCUCCUCCCGGGGACGGGCCCGAAAGGCAGCGGCGGCACCGCGUCCGGUCCUCGAGCGUAUGGGGCUUCGUCACCCGCUCUUGUAGGCCCGGCCGGCGCUUGCCGACACAUCAAUCUUUUUUCCAGGUUGACCUCGGAUCAGGUAGGGAUACCCGCUGAACUUAAGCAUAUCAAUAAGCGGAGGA